rnacentral:rRNA from 1 species
UGAUGGAGCUAACUAAAAUUCAUUAGUAUGUAGUAUACUAAGAAAAACGUAGUAAUAGGAUAAUGACGAAAUACUACUAAGAGUACUGACAAAUUGCCGUGCCAGCAGUUGCGGUAAGACGGCUAGUACGAACGUUAAUCCUCUUUAAUAGGCAUAAAGGGUUCGUAGGCAGCUUUCUAGUUCUAUAGAGAGAUAGAAUCAGAUAGAGGAUAAUUAUACAACGCUAGGAGUAGGGCUUAUAUCCACAGAUACCUAGUAGAGUGUUAAGAGCGAAGGCAAUUAUCUGGGUAUGAUUGACGCUGAGGAACUAAGGUUUGGGAAGGAAACAGGAUUAGAGACCCAGGAACUCCUUACAGUCAACGAUGAAUGCUAGAUGUUAGUUAUUUUAAUUAGUGUCGAUGUGAAAUGAACGUUAAGCAUUCCGCCUUGGUAGUAUACUCGCAAGGGUGAAAUCAAAAAAAUUAGUCGGUGUCGAAGCAAACGGAGUGAAGCAUGUUGUUUAAUACGAUAUUCCG